UGCAUAUCAAUAAGCGGAGGAAAAGAAACUAACAAGGAUUCCCCUAGUAACGGCGAGUGAAGAGGGAAGAGCUCAAAUUUGAAAGCUGGUACCUUCGGUAUCCGCGUUGUAACCUCGAGACACGUUUUCCGUGCGGCGCUAUGGACAAGUUCCUUGGAACAGGACAUCGUAGAGGGUGAAAAUCCCGUACUUGCCAUGGAUGUACCGUGCUUUGCGAUACGUGCUCUAAGAGUCGAGUUGUUUGGGAUUGCAGCUCAAAAUGGGUGGUAGACUCCAUCUAAAGCUAAAUAUCGGGGAGAGACCGAUAGCGAACAAGUACCGUGAGGGAAAGAUGAAAAGCACUUUGGAAAGAGAGUUAAAAGUACGUGAAAUUGUCGAAAGGGAAGCGCUUGAAGUCAGCCAUGCCGCUCAGGACUCAGCCUGGCUUUUGCUUGGUGUAUUUCCUGGGUAGCAAGUCAGCAUUGGUUUGGAUCGUCGGAGAAGCAUAGUCGGAAUGUGGCGCCCUCGGGCGUGUUAUAGCCUUCUAUUGGAUACGACGAUCUAGACCAAGGAACGCAGCGCGCCUUAUGGCGGGUCUUCGGACACCUUCGCGCUUAGGAUGCUGGCGUAAUGGCUUUAAGUGGCCCGUCUUGA
rnacentral:rRNA from 1 species